GCCCCAGUGGCGCAAUUGGUUAGCGCACGGUACUUAUAGACAGUGGUCGUGUGAGCUAUGCCGGGGUUGUGAGUUCGAGCCUCACCUGGGGCA
rnacentral:ncRNA from 13 species